UAAAAGUCGUAACAAGGUCUCCGUUGGUGAACCAACGGAGGGAUCAUUA
rnacentral:rRNA from 1 species